AGUGAACGCUGGCGGUAGGCCUAACACAUGCAAGUCGAACGGCAGCACAGUAAGAGCCUGCUCUUACGGGUGGCGAGUGGCGGACGGGUGAGGAAUACAUCGGAAUCUACUUUUUCGUGGGGGAUAACGUAGGGAAACUUACGCUAAUACCGCAUACGACCUACGGGUGAAAGCAGGGGAUCUUCGGACCUUGCGCGAUUGAAUGAGCCGAUGUCGGAUUGGCUAGUUUGCGGGGUAAAGGCCCACCAAGGCGACGAUCCGUAGCUGGUCUGAGAGGAUGAUCAGCCACACUGGAAGUGAGACACGGUCCAGACUACUACGGGAGGGAGCAGUGGGGAAUAUUGGACAAUGGGCGCAAGCCUGAUCCAGCCAUAGCGCGUGGGUGAAGAAGGCCUUCGGGUUGUAAAGCCCUUUUGUUGGGAAAGAAAAGCAGCAGGUUAAUACCCCGCUGUUCUGACGGUACCCAAAGAAUAAGCACCGGCUAACUUCGUG
rnacentral:rRNA from 1 species